GAUGAACGCUGGCGGCGUGCCUAAUACAUGCAAGUCGAGCGAACAGAUAAGGAGCUUGCUCCUUUUACGUUAGCGGCGGACGGGGGAGUAACACGUGGGUAACCUACCUAUAAGACUGGGAUAACUUCGGGAAACCGGAGCUAAUACCGGAUAACAUUUGGAACCGCAUGGUUCUAAAGUGAAAGAUGGUUUUGCUAUCACUUAUAGAUGGAGCCGCGCCGUAUUAGCUAGUUGGUAAGGUAACGGCUUACCAAGGCGACGAUACGUAGCCGACCUGAGAGGGUGAUCGGCCACACUGGAACUGAGACACGGUCCAGACUCCUACGGGAGGCAGCAGUAGGGAAUCUUCCGCAAUAGGCGAAAGCCUGACGGAGCAACGCCGCGUGAGUGAUGAAGGGUUUCGGCUCGUAAAACUCUGUUAUUAGGGAAGAACAAAUGUGUAAGUAACUGUGCACGUCUUGACGGUACCUAAUCAGAAAGCCACGGCUAACUACGUG
rnacentral:rRNA from 1 species